GUCGAGAAUAAUUCACAAUGGGGGAAACCCUGAUGGUGCAACGCCGCGUGGAGGAUGAAGGUCUUCGGAUUGUAAACUCCUGUCAUCUGGGAGUAAGACCUGACGGUGAAUAGCCGGCAGGGUUGAUAGUACCAGAAGAGGAAGGGACGGCUAACUUCGUGCCAGCAGCCGCGGUAAUACGAAGGUCCCAAGCGUUGUUCGGAAUCACUGGGCGUAAAGGGAGCGUAGGCGGCGUGGUAAGUCAGAUGUGAAAUCCCGGGGCUCAACCCCGGAACUGCAGCCGAUACUGCCAUGCUUGAGGGUUGGAGAGGUAGCUGGAAUUCUCGGUGUAGCAGUGAAAUGCGUGGAUAUCGAGAGGAACACUCGUGGCGAAGGCGAGCUACUGGACAACAUCUGACGCUGAGGCUCGAAGGCCAGGGGAGCAAAAGGGAUUAGAAACCCUUGUAGUCC
rnacentral:rRNA from 1 species